CCACAAAAGAAAUCUGUUUUGCUGUUGAGCAUCCUAAUGCCUAAUUUGUCUCUGUCUGGCUCUGGGCUUUGAUUGCACAAUCCCAGGUUGAAUUCCCUUUUCAGUGAACAGAUGCCUCAAGAUAUUGCUGCUGCAGACUUCUGUAUAGAGCAGGGAAUCCUGUGUUUGGUUUAGAUGACAUGAAUACUUGCAGCAGUUAAGGUGUGUCAGCAGAAGUCCAAUUUACUCUGCCAUCCUUACAUUUUCUCUGUUGCCCAACUGAGCAGCCCACAACUGCACAGGCUGACUAUGGGAGCAGGCCCCAUGGCGCUCAGGUUAAGACGGCUGCUGGGCCCAUCCCCUGCAUAGCCCCAGGGCCCUCAGUCAGUGGGGGCCAUCCUGCAGUGGAAUUGCCUGCUGUUAUUAUUUGGAGAAAACAAAUUGGAGAUUUCUCCUUGGUGCUUAGAUAGCAGCAGAGAUGCUUGGAGAUCCCUAUAUAUUGAACAGAGGAGUUGGACAAUAGAGUCAAAUUGAAGGAAGCAAGCAACAUGCUGAGCAUUCACCAUUGGUGGAGAAGACUGAAAUUCCCAUGUGUGGAAGAGAAUGUGAAAAGAAGUGAGGGGAAGAGGAAAAAUAGAAAACGAAGAAGGUUCUGAUGUUUAGCUUCCUUCCUGCCUUAAGUUUCAACUGGAAGACUUGCAGUUAAUGGUCAAAGGCUGCUGUUUGGCUCGGCUACCUUGGCAAUGUGCUCAAGUAGAAGGACUGGAUCUUUCUUGCAAGGCAGGAGAAGUGUUGGUAACCCUUUCUGAGGGGUGCUAGGGCACGGUUUAAUUUGCUUGGGGACAUCCACAGAGAGCUCCCAGACUCAGAUCUGUUGGAGGAGCUGGCUUGGGUUUCAUGCCAUUGCUGCUGGAGGCAGCAG
rnacentral:lncRNA from 1 species